CAAAGUGUGGAAUAUUCUUCACCCCAUUGUAACACUGCAAAUGCAUGAAAGAAUUUGAAAUGUGCCAGUGAACAGAAGGAUUCUGCCCAUUCUGUGCCGUAUUUUUACUUACACUUAAGUGUGCAGCUGUCUGGAAGGAGGUACAAAAUCACCAUCAUGAAAUCCAAACUGCAGCUGGCAUUAAUCAAAGCUUUGCCCUUGAACAUUCAUCACUGUGAUAUUGCUGUGACAAAGUGGACUUUUACUGCCGUUUGGGAUGGGAAGAUUUUACUUCCUUAAAUAAUUCAAGUUCUCUAGUGGUGCAGAUGCUGUGAAAAA